AACACGCGGUUUGGUUUUGUGCGUCCGACGAUGCUUUCUUGUGCCAUCUUUGUGAUGAAUCAGUGCAUUCUGCAAACCAAGUGGCGACAAAACACGAGAGAGUUUGUCUUAGAACAAAUGAGAUAUCAAUUCGUGUGCUCCAAGGAACAACAUCAAAGCCGGUUUGGCACAGCGGGUUCAGAAGAAAAGCGAGAACACCUAGAGCUCGUUGUGAGAAGAAACCACAAGAAAAUAUAGAUGAUGAGAGAAGAAGAGAAGACCCUCGUGUUCCCGAGAUUGGUGGCCAACGAAUGUUUUUCAUACCAGAAACAAAUGAUGAUGAUGGUGAUGAGGAUCUGACUUCUCUUGUGCCAGAGUUUCACGGAUUCAUAGAGAUGGAGUUCUUCUUGAGCAACUAUGAUGGCUCUGAAGAAACAACGAGACCAUUCAACUUUGAAGAUGAGAUUGAUGCAAUGGAAGAUCUAUGUUACAAUGAAGAUGGAGAGGCUAAAACUGAUGGAGAUAAAGCAUGUCCUGACCAAUCUUUGAUGAGCUCCAAGAACAAUGUCAUCGCGAUUACAACAAAGAAAGAAGAAAUGGAGGAUUAUGAGAGUAAUGCAAAGCAGAUGAACAUGUUACUUAGGCUUAAUUACGAAAAUGUUAUAGCAGCUUGGGAUAAACAAGAAUCUCCAAGAGGAGCACCAAUAAACGAAACUGAGUUUAACAACAUAAGUACCUUCCAGCUAGUUCCUCCAGUAAGCUUCUUCCUUAUCUCAUCUUGUUUUGUCAUAAGUUGUUACAAAGAUAUGUUAACAUAUAGUUUCAAAUUGAGAAAAUUUACCAUAUAUGGAUCUUGAUUGCAG
rnacentral:lncRNA from 1 species